rnacentral:rRNA from 1 species
CAGUCGCCGCGGUAAUACGUAGGGUGCGAGCGUUAAUCGUAAUUACUGGGCGUAAAGCGUGCGCAGGCGGUUUGUUAAGACAGAUGUGAAAUCCCCGGGCUCAACCUGGGAACUGCAUUUGUGACUGGCAAGCUAGAGUAUGGCAGAGGGGGGUGGAAUUCCGCGUGUAGCAGUGAGAUGCGUAGAUAUGCGGAGGAACACCGAUGGCGAAGGCAGCCCCCUGGGCCAAUACUGACGCUCAUGCACGAAAGCGUGGGGAGCAAACAGGAAUAGAUACCCGCGUAGUCCCUGACUCUUAUAC